rnacentral:rRNA from 1 species
UACGGGAGGCAGCAGUGGGGAAUAUUGCACAAUGGGCGCAAGCCUGAUGCAGCCAUGCCGCGUGUAUGAAGAAGGCCUUCGGGUUGUAAAGUACUUUCAGUCGUGAGGAAGGUGUUAAGGUUAAUAACCUUAGCAAUUGACGUUAGCGACAGAAGAAGCACCGGCUAACUCCGUGCCAGCAGCCGCGGUAAUACGGAGGGUGCGAGCGUUAAUCGGAAUUACUGGGCGUAAAGGGCACGCAGGCGGUUAAUUAAGUUGGAUGUGAAAUCCCCGGGCUUAACCUGGGAAUGGCAUUCAAGCUGGUUAGCUAGAGUCUUGUAGAGGGGGUAGAAUUCCAUGUGUAGCGGUGAAAUGCGUAGAGAUGUGGAGGAAUACCGGUGGCGAAGGCGGCCCCUGGACAAAGGCUGACGCUCAUGUGCGAAAGCGUGGGGAGCGAAACAGGGA